ensembl:lncRNA
CGCUGGAGUAUGCAAUACUACUCCUCCGGGAGCAGCGCUGGAGUAUGCAACACUACUCCUCCGGGAGCAGCGCUGGAGUAUGCAACACUACUCCUCCGGGAGCCAGAGGGGAGGGAGGAAAAGCGCCGUGAAACAGAACAACACAAAAACAGCCAAAACCAAUAUUCAGGAGCACGAGCUGCAGACUUUCUUCCUCACACUCAGUAGCACAGCUGCCAGUGGGCUCCCGCCCGAGGAAAUGGUAGAUUUGGCGUCUGCUGUAGUGCUGUGGUUUUGGCAGGAGGCCAGCGGCGGCUCCGCUUGCUUGUGAAUGGGGCUGUGUGGAGCAGGAGCAGUAGCAGGAGCGGUAGCAGGAGCUGCUGAUGUGAGCUAUGACUCAGCCUAGGCCUGCGCUGCUGUCAACACGCUGGAGUGGAGGAGAAGGGCCCGAUACAGAGUACUGGAGUUGGGAUUGGAUCUUAUUCCUCCAUAUGAAUAUCCAUCCUGACUUAAAACAUCUAGAGAUCUGAGGGGAAUGUACUGCUUCUAACGACUUGCUUUCUUUUCUUUUUCAGUUGGAAUCCGGAGGUGAAGUCGAAGUGGAGGAGUUUUAUGUCAAAUUCAAGAGUUUGUAAGUGCUGAAUGUCUUGAUGUAUAUGAAAUGUAGCACUCUUUCUAUUGAAGGAUAUUUCAAUUUGUUAAUCUGAUUUCAACCAUCAUCGGCUUCAGCACAGAUGCCAUUGCCUUUUGCAUUGUGGUAGUUUUCAGUGUUUAGUUGUGUCAUUUCUGAGACUGAUGGAAGUUUACAGCUUUCAGUGGCUCACACUGAAGUGGCCACUUUUGACAAUCAUCCAUCUCGAUGCCUGUUUGCAGGGGUUGUUAUGUGUUUAGAUAUAUAUAUAGAGAGAGAGAGAUUCAGUGGCAACUAGGAAUGGCAGGCGUGUAUGUCUAAUUGAUUGCUAAAACUAGUUGUGCCUGACAUGUUUCUUUGACAAUUACCCUGAAGGAAAAAAAGAUAAUUUCAUUUGAGUGAUGCUUGAGUUUUGAAAGGAACUAGAAUGACUCACGCCAACGUAGAUUAUGGAAUGGCUUGAUUUUGCUGCUCUGCCACUAGGGCUGAACGAUUCAUUGCAUUUGCGAUUCAAUCGCGAUAUGAUGGAACGCGAUUUUCUAACCGCAACGUUCGCGAUUUAAAAACGUGGUCUUUCUUUUCUUAAAAUUUUUGCACAGUGUUUAAAAAGUGCAUGCCUUGUGUUUAUUCUUUCAAUUACUUUGUUUAAAUUACUUAAAUGCACAGUGGCAAAGCCACCUAUGUGUUGUUUUUGAUUCUGUAAUGAGCAGUUAAAUAAAAAUGUAAAAUGUGGGAAAUAAUAUUUUACACUAAAUGUAUCUAAUAUUGUGUAGGUCAUAUUUAAAUCAUUCAUUACGAUUUGUUGGGAAAAAAAUUAGGAUAAAAUAAAAAAAAAUUGCAUAUUAAAUCGCAAUCGCAAUAUUGGGGGGGAAAAAAAUCGCAAUUAAAUUUUUUCCCCCAAAUCGUUCAGUCCUAUCUGCCACCAUGAAGCAUAUAUAAAGUGAGGAAGAAGACUUUGUGUGUAGAAUGGAUGUGUCUGGUGUGGUGGUGGAUCUGUGCUUAUGUGGUGGUGGAUCUGUGGUGUAUCUGUGCUGAUGUGGUGGUGUAGCUGUGGUGGAUGUGUGUUGAUGUGGUGGUGUAUCUGUGGUGGAUCUGUGUUGAUGUGGUGGUGUAUCUGUGGUGUAUCUGUGUUGAUGCGGUGGUGUAUCUGUGGUGGAUCUGUGUUGAUGUGGUGGUGUAUCUGUGUUGAUGCAGUGGUGGAUCUAAUGAUGUGGUGGUGUAUCUGUGUUGAUGCGGUGGUGUAUCUGUGGUGGAUCUGUGUUGAUGCGGUGGUGUAUCUGUGCUGAUGUGGUGGUGGAUCUAAUGAUGUGGUGG